rnacentral:rRNA from 1 species
GACGAACGCUGGCGGCGUGCUUAACACAUGCAAGUCGAACGGAAAGGCCCUGCUCUUGUGGGGUGCUCGAGUGGCGAAAGGGUGAGUAACACGUGAGUAACCUGCCCUUGACUUUGGGAUAACUUCAGGAAACUGGGGCUAAUACCGGAUAGGAGCUCCUGCUGCAUGGUGGGGGUUGGAAAGUUUCGGCGGUUGGGGAUGGACUCGCGGCUUAUCAGCUUGUUGGUGGGGUAGUGGCUUACCAAGGCUUUGACGGGUAGCCGGCCUGAGAGGGUGACCGGCCACAUGGGGACUGAGAUACGGCCCAGACUCCUACGGGAGGCAGCAGUGGGGAAUAUUGCAGAAUGGGCGGGAGCCUGAUGCAGCAACGCCGCGUGCGGGAUGACGGCCUUCGGGUUGUAAACCGCUUUCGCCUGUGACGAAGCGUGAGUGACGGUAAUGGGUAAAGAAGCACCGGCUAACUACGUG